AGAUGUUAAAAGCAAGAGACAUGGGAGAGCAUCAUUCCUUUGAGAUUUUAUAAAUCAAACCAACUUUGGAGAUUUGGAGAGUCAUUAUUCUUGGUCUUCGCUCGCCUAACCUGAUUUUACCAAGCCACUGAUGAAGAACAGGCGGUGACUGGGAUGAAUCCUGGUCAGAGAGGAGAAUCUUCUUUCCCCUAAACUGAUGCAGCGGUGGUUUUAAAGAAGGACGCUGCCCUGGAUGAUGUAGAAGAUGUCACAUGCUGUGCUGAUGGGGCUUCUUCAUGAUUACAUCAGUUAUGCUAAAGAGAUCAUGAAAAUUGACCGUGAUGCAUGAUCUGUGUUCAUGGAAUAUGAAACAAACUGUAAGUGUAUAAUUUGUUAAAAAAAAAAAAGUUAAAUGCUUUUUCUGUGUUGUUUAGUAGAUGAGUUUACACUCUGUCAUUCAUACACCUGCUCACAUUCUUUCACACACACACACACACACACAUGCGUCUGUUAAAUGUUAUAAUAUCAAAGUUAAUGUUGUGAUUUAUUUGUGUACUGUCAUGCCAGAAUAGUUGGAAAAAACCUAACUAAUUGUAAAUUUAUUGUAUGUGUUUUCGUAUAUUUUUAUACAAUAUAUACAAUUGAACAAAGUCCAAUUUGAUCUUAAGUUAUAUUCAUCAAAUGUUCAAUGCUUUGUUUAUGAACUCUGUAGCUGUUAAUGCCAUCCUUUUCUGCAUUUCUUCUAACAUGUUACUUUUUGACUUUUCUCUUGUUUUUAAUAAAUAUUUUGCUUUUG